CUACGGGACGCACCAGCAGGGAAUAUUGGACAAUGGGCGAAAGCCUGAUCCAGCAACGCCGCGUGCACGAUGACGGCCUUCGGGUUGUAAAGUGCUUUUAGAGGAGAUGAGAAAGGACAGUAUCCUCUGAAUAAGCCUCGGCGAACUACGUGCCAGCAGCCGCGGUAAAACGUAGGAGGCAAGCGUUAUCCGGAUUUAUUGGGCGUAAAGCGCGUGCAGGCGGUUUGACAAGUUGGAUGUGAAAGCUCCCGGCUUAACUGGGAGAGGUCGUUCAAAACUGUCAGACUAGAGAAUGGGAGAGGGAGGUGGAAUUCCGGGUGUAGUGGUGAAAUGCGUAGAUAUCCGGAGGAACACCAGUGGCGAAAGCGGCCUCCUAGACCAUUUCUGACGCUAAGACGCGAAAGCUAGGGUAGCAAACGGGAUUAGAUACCCGAGUAGUC
rnacentral:rRNA from 1 species